rnacentral:rRNA from 1 species
AACGUAGGACGCAAGCGUUAUCCGGAAUUACUGGGCGUAAAGCGUGCGCAGGCGGCUUUGCAAGACAGAUGUGAAAUCCCCGGGCUUAACCUGGGAACUGCAUUUGUGACUGCAUGGCUGGAGUGCGGCAGAGGGGGAUGGAAUUCCGCGUGUAGCAGUGAAAUGCGUAGAUAUGCGGAGGAACACCGAUGGCGAAGGCAAUCCCCUGGGCCUGCACUGACGCUCAUGCACGAAAGCGUGGGGAGCAAACAGG